rnacentral:misc_RNA from 1 species
GAUGAAGAACGUAGCAAAAUGCGAUAAGUAAUGUGAAUUGCAGAAUUCAGUGAAUCAUCGAAUCUUUGAACGCACAUUGCGCCCGCCAGUAUUCUGGCGGGCAUGCCUGUUCGAGCGUCAUUUCAACCCUCAAGCCCUCGGGUUUGGUGUUGGGGAUCGGCGAGCCUUUCUGGCAAGCCGGCCCCGAAAUCUAGUGGCGGUCUCGCUGCAGCCUCCAUUGCGUAGUAGUAAAACCCUCGCAACUGGAACGCGGCGCGGCCAAGCCGUUAAACCCCCAACUUCUGAAUGUUGACCUCAGAUCAGGUAGGAAUACCCGCUGAACUUAAGCAUAUCAAUAAGCGGAGGA